CUUUAUAAAACAGAUCGAAUCAUUGGGAAAUGUUUGUGGAACUAUUGCUCUACUCCAUGCUGUUGGAAAUGCAUCUUCCAAAGUCAAUUUAGUGGAGAAUUCAUGCUUGGACUUGUUCUUCAAAUCAACUGCUACCAUGGAUGACCCUCAUGAGCGUGCUGUGUGUCUGGAGAAGGAUGAUACAAUGGCAAGGGCUCAUUUACUU